rfam:Brassica napus, WGS project CCCW01000000 data, contig: 14518
UUGUUUGCUGCUGUGGCAUCAUCAAGAUUCACAUCCGUUGAUGGACGGUGGUGGUUCACUCUACCCAAAGUUCUCUUGUGAAAAUGGGAAUCUUGAUGAUGCUGCAUCGGUAAUCAA